GAAAUGCGAUAAUUAAUGUGAAUUGAAGAAUUCAGUGAAUCAUCGAGUCUUUGAACGCACAUUGCGCCCCCUGGUAUUCCGGGGGGCAUGCCUGUCCGAGCGUCAUUGCUGCCCUCAAGCACGGCUUGUGUGUUGGGCUUCCGUCCCUGGCAACGGGGACGGGCCCAAAAGGCAGUGGCGGCACCAUGUCUGGUCCUCGAGCGUAUGGGGCUUUGUCACCCGCUCCCGUAGGUCCAGCUGGCAGCUAGCCUCGCAACCAAUCUUUUUAACCAGGUUGACCUCGGAUCAGGUAGGGAUACCCGCUGAACUUAAGC
rnacentral:misc_RNA from 1 species